rnacentral:rRNA from 1 species
CCUACGGGGGGCAGCAGUGGGGAAUAUUGCGCAAUGGGCGAAAGCCUGACGCAGCGACGCCACGUGAGGGAUGAAGGUCUUCGGAUCGUAAACCUCUGUCAGCAGGGAAGAACGGUCACUGUGCUAAUCAUCAGUGAAUUGACGGUACCUGCAAAGGAAGCACCGACUAACUCCGUGCCAGCAGCCGCGGUAAUACGGAGGGUGCGAGCGUUAAUCGGAAUUACUGGGCGUAAAGCGCUCGUAGGCGGUAUGUCAAGUCAAGGGUGAAAUCCCCGCGCUCAACGUGGGAACUGCCUUUGAAACUGGCAAACUGGAGUGUGUGAGAGGAUAGUGGAAUUCCAGGUGUAGGAGUGAAAGCCGUAGAUAUCUGGAGGAACAUCAGUGGCGAAGGCGACUAUCUGGCACAUAACUGACGCUGAGGAGCGAAAGCGUGGGUAGCAAACAGGAUUAGAUACCCGGGUAGUC